CCGACUCGCUUUGCUCGGUCCGCGAAUCACUCCGAGACCGCUAUAGAGGAAUAACGUAAUACGUACGCGUGACUUGCCGUGACUCGUCUCGGCCGGUCGUGACUCGACCGCAAAGAGUUCACUAGAUUCAAAACCCGAGGAGUGAACGUUCCUUGAGAGGCAGGGAGGGAGGGAGGCACUCCGCGUACCGAUUGUUAGUGCUCGCUUGCAUCUAGACUCUAGAAAAUUUUUCUAGUUGCGGUUGAUCUGCGCUGUUGUUCAAGUCUUCGCGGACAGGUAGGAACGGUGGAAUGGCAGAGGAACGUGGUACAGGAGAGUAACGUCGGAAUAGGACGGAAAUGUGGAACACGAGGGGAACGAUGAAACAGGACGGAAAUAUGAAACAGGAGAGGAACGAUGGAAUACGACGGAAAUGUGGAACAGGAGAAGGAUGAAACGGGGUUUCCGGCUUCAAAAGUUGGGCCUCUUGGGGCUCGGUGGGACCGAUUUCCCACGCUGACGGAGGUACCAGCCUCGCCUGGUAGGAACCCCGAGCCUUCCGCUUGCGACCUCUGUGUCUGCGUGUAAUAAUCGGCGCGUUUAGUACCGUUAACUUCGGGCCUGGUCUCGAAAUGAUGGAAACUUCAAUCUGCUAGACGCUCGAAGCGGAGCAGGCCGCCUCGACACACGUAUAUCUACGUACCUAAAGCUAAUUGCUGGAUAAAGAACGAACCGCUAAACGCGGUCACUUCCCUGAGAAACUGCAGUUACCACUCUACAUCUACGCCGCACCCGCCAGCCGCCUAACCCGCUCGCACAUCAGCUGAUGAUGCACAGUUAUCGCGGAAAAUUAAUGAAACCAUUAUCCUACCUGCCAUUAUGUAACCCGCAGAGACGCUGUGAUGAUGACUGAAACAUUAUUGUACGUGCCGGCCUUUCGUGAUUUCAUACGCAAGACCAGAAGCUCAGGAGAAAACAUUUUCAAACAUUACUUGACCGUGCAAUGGAUCGGGAAGUUUGAUUAUGUAGAGUUUAGGGCUACUGGUAUCAUAAUUAAGAACUUCGAUGUGUGUCAA